UACAGAGGUCUCAAGCGUUGUUCGGAUUCAUUGGGCGUAAAGGGUGCGUAGGCGGCGCGGUAAGUCGGGUGUGAAAUCUCGGAGCUUAACUCCGAAACUGCAUUCGAUACUGCCGUGCUUGUGGACUGGAGAGGAGACUGGAAUUUACGGUGUAGCGGUGAAAUGCGUAGAUAUCGUAAGGAACACCGGUGGCGAAGGCGGCAUCCUGGACCGGCAUUGACGCUGAGGCGCGAAAGCCAGGGGAGCAAACGGG
rnacentral:rRNA from 1 species